rnacentral:rRNA from 1 species
GAUGAACGCUGGCGGCGUGCCUAAUACAUGCAAGUCGAGCGAAUGGAUUAAGAGCUUGCUCUUAUGAAGUUAGCGGCGGACGGGUGAGUAACACGUGGGUAACCUGCCCAUAAGACUGGGAUAACUCCGGGAAACCGGGGCUAAUACCGGAUAACAUUUUGAACCGCAUGGUUCGAAAUUGAAAGGCGGCUUCGGCUGUCACUUAUGGAUGGACCCGCGUCGCAUUAGCUAGUUGGUGAGGUAACGGCUCACCAAGGCAACGAUGCGUAGCCGACCUGAGAGGGUGAUCAGCCACACUGGGACUGAGACACGGCCCAGACUCCUACGGGAGGCAGCAGUAGGGAAUCUUCCGCAAUGGACGAACGUCUGACGGAGCAACGCCGCGUGAGUGAUGAAGGCUUUCGGGUCGUAAAACUCUGUUGUUAGGGAGGAACAAGUGCUAGUUGAAUAAGCUGGCACCUUGACGGUACCUAACCAGAAAGCCACGGCUAACUACGUGCCAGCCGCCGCGAUAA